AUGCCAUGAUGUGGACACUUUCGCAAAAGUUCCUUAAACCUCUCCCACGCAUCACUUGUGGACUCAUCUUCAAGUUGCUGAAAAGACAUGAUCUCACUUCUGAAUUU
rfam:Amborella trichopoda AMTR_V1.0_contig_45274, whole genome shotgun sequence.